UUAUGUUUUUUUAGAAAAUAAGAAUCAUCUGAACAUAUUUAUAUGGCGUCUAUUUUUGAAGAUCUCAACACGGAAAAUGAAAAAAUGAAAAUGGUUCAUGAGUUGAACACACUGUUCAAGGGAUAAACUCCAAAAUUACAACAAGUGUCACACAUAUAGUGCCCCACUUAUCACCAAUUUAAGAAAAGGAGCUUUGCAAGGGGUGGUCUCUAGCGAGUGAUUUCGGUAAUGUAUAGAUGCUGCCCUUGCAACAAGCGAGAAACAGAAGCACCUGAAUAGUGGAGUACACACAUACUCGAU
rnacentral:lncRNA from 1 species